GCGGCGUGCUUAACACAUGCAAGUCAAGGGGGCCCAGCAAUGGGCAACCGGCGAACGGUGCGUAACACGUGAGCAACCUACCGAAAUGUGGGGGAUAGCCGGCCUAACGGCCGAGUAAUACCGCAUACGCUCUCGAUGAGGCAUUUCAUUGAGAGGAAACCUACGGGACAUUUCGAGGGGCUCGCGGCCUAUCAGCUAGUUGGCGAGGUAACGGCUCACCAAGGCAACGACGGGUAGCUGGUCUGAGAGGAUGGCCAGCCACAUUGGGACUGAGAUACGGCCCAGACUCCUACGGGAGGCAGCAGUGGGGAAUCUUGCGCAAUGGCCUAACGGCUGACGCAGCGACGCCGCGUGUGGGAUGAAGCUCUUCGGAGUGUAAACCACUGUUGCCCGGGACGAAUAGCUCGAUUAAUCGAGCCUGACGGUACCGGGUGAGGAAGCACCGGCUAACUCCGUGCCAGCAGCCGCGGUAAUACGGGGGGUGCGAGCGUUGUCCGGAAUCACUGGGCGUAAAGGGCGCGUAGGUGGUUUGAUAAGGGUGUGGUGAAAGCCCGGAGCUCAACUCCGGGUCUGCCGUGCCGACUGUCAAACUCGAGGACUGUAGAGGCAGACGGAAUUCCGGGUGUAGCGGUGGAAUGCGUAGAGAUCCGGAGGAAGACCGGUGGCGAAGGCGGUCUGCUGGGCAGUUUCUGACACUGAGGCGCGACAGCGUGGGGAGCAAACAGGAUUAGAUACCCUGGUAGUCCACGCCGUAAACGAUGGGUACUAGGUGCCUGGGGGAGCGACCCUCUGGGUGCCGGCGCUAACGCAGGAAGUACCCCGCCUGGGGAGUACGACCGCAAGGUUGAAACUCAAAGGAAUUGACGGGGGCCCGCACAAGCGGUGGAGCAUGUGGUUUAAUUCGACGCAACGCGAAGAACCUUACCUAGGCUUGACAUGUACGAGUAAGCUCUCAGAGACGAGAGCCCCUCUUCGGAGAUCGUGCACAGGUGCUGCAUGGCUGUCGUCAGCUCG
rnacentral:rRNA from 1 species